UACGAAGGUGGCAAGCGUUGUUCGGAUUUACUGGGCGUACAGGGAGCGUAGGCGGUUGGGUAAGCCCUCCGUGAAAUCUCCAGGCUUAACCUGGAAAGUGCAGAGGGGACUGUUCAGCUAGAGGAUGGGAGAGGAGCGCGGAAUUCCCGGUGUAGCGGUGAAAUGCGUAGAGAUCGGGAGGAAGGCCGGUGGCGAAGGCGGCGCUCUGGAACAUUUCUGACGCUGAGACUCGAAAGCGUGGGGAGCAAACAGG
rnacentral:rRNA from 1 species